GGCCCCUCCUGGUUGAUUCCCCAAAUCCACUUCUCCAUCACCCUCACUGACCUUCUCCCACUGUGAGGCCUCCUGCCUUCCACAGGACCUGCCUGCUGUCUCACCUCUUCAUAGCUCACCUCUCUUCUCUACCCCAAGGCUGGCUUUGAGGGACCCUGGCUCCACAGUCCUUGCCACAGUAUGAACAAGGUCACUUCCUGCUGCAGAGUCCUCACUCCAGCUUUCUCACCAAUCCUCCCCCUACACAAGAAGAUCAUCUCUGGGUUCAGGUCACCCAUCCAACUCCACUGAUGGAUUUAGGCUCAUUUAAUCCAAACUCGACUCCAUUUCAGCCAGAACCAGGCACCUCUAGAAAGGUCACCCUAACUGCCACAUCCAGUUCCUGAUCUGCCAUCUGCUUCUUUUCCAUCACUUGUGGGGUAUUUCCCAGCCUACCACUAAUGUGAGCCCUCCUGAGUCAAAAGUUCCCCUCUUCCAGGCCUCCUGCUCAGCUGACGUCCUGGACCAGGCAGGCCACCCUUGUUCCACUUCCCCUGGGAAGACACCUGGGUCUUGUGCCUGCCCUGGAUUAGGGUGGGCAAAUUAGUUCAUCCAGGACUAGAAGAAUGGAAAUAAACAGACUUGUGUCUUGGGGCUGA
rnacentral:lncRNA from 1 species